ACUUCCACACAUCACACACACCUCCGCUGGCCGUCUGCCCGACGACGAAUGGCACCGUGCCACGGCCUGCUGCGCGGCGGGGCCCAGGCGGCCAGAUAGCCCAAUUCGUUUGGCCCUCCUCCUCCGCCCCGCCUUGCCCGCGCGCGGAGCACGAGACGCGUUGACCCCCGGGCACCGCCACCGCCACUCUUCAGCCCCACUCCACUCUCCGCCACUUUCCAGCCCGCCGCCCCAAGCUCCCCCAGCCCACCAGUCGCCCCCGCCUCUUCCUCUUCCUGUUCCUGUUCCCCAUGGCGUGCUCGGCGGCGGCGGGCGUCGAGGCGACGGCCCUCCUGUCCCCCCGCUGCCCCGCCCCUUCCCCGCCCGACGGCCGCUCCCGCCGCCGCCUCGCCCUCGCCUCCCGGACGCGCCACCGCAGCCUCAGGGCGGCCGCGCAGCGUCCUCACAAGAGCACAACCGGCGCCGACCCCCUUAACAACAGGGCAAAUCCAAGGAGCGACGAGGCAGCGGUUUCCGCCGAAAAAGAACGGCAAAGGAAAUACAACGAUGGAGAUGGCAUAUCAAACCUUCAGCUGGAAGAUUUGGUAGGACUGAUACAGAACACCGAGAAGAGUAGGGGAUUCCUUCUUUUUGAAUAUCCGUACAGUUUCCUAAAAUGCAUAGAGUUGCAAUGGAACACGCUGAUAAAAUUCUUAAAGAAAAGGAAGCCUUGCAGAGGAAGAUAAACAUUUUAGAGACGAGGUUGUCAGAAACAAAUGCACAACAUAAGCUUUCAAGUGAAGGGAAUGUCAGUGACUCUCCACUAUUAUUGGAGUUUGAUGUUCUAAAGGAAGAUAAUAUUCUACUGAAGGAGGACAUAGAAUUUUUCAAAACAAAGCUUAUAGAGAUUGCCGAGACAGAGGAGGGCAUAUUCAAAUUGGAGAAAGAGCGUGCUCUUUUAGAUGCUUCCCUUAGGGAGCUGGAGUCCAGAUUUAUAGCUGCCCAAGCAAAUAUGAUGAAACUUGGUCCUAGGGAUGCCUGGUGGGAGAAAGUAGAAAAAUUGGAAGACUUGCUUGAGACCACAGCAAACCAAGUAGAGCAUGCUGCUGUGAUAUUGGACCACAAUCAUGAUCUGCAGGAUAGGCUUGACAAUUUAGAGGCAUCACUGCAAGCAGCAAAUAUUUCAAAGUUCUCUUGUUCUCUUGUUGAUCUUUUGCAGCAAAAGGUCAAAUUGGUAGAAGACCGCUUCCAAGCAUGUAACAGCGAAAUGCAUUCUCAGAUUGAACUGUACGAGCAUUCAAUAGUGGAAUUUCAUGAUACUCUUAGCAAACUAAUAGAGGAAAGUGAGAAAAGAUCACUGGAGAAUUUUACAGGAAACAUGCCUUCAGAAUUAUGGAGCAAAAUUUCCCUUCUAAUUGAUGGAUGGUUACUGGAGAAGAAAAUAGCUUACAAUGACGCAAGUAUGUUACGAGAAAUGGUUCGGAAAAGGGACAGUCGCCUUCGGGAAGCGUACUUGUCAUACAGAGGUACCGAAAACAGGGAUGUUAUGGACAGUUUUCUUAAGAUGGCAUUACCAGGAACCAGUUCUGGUUUGCACAUCGCUCACAUAGCAGCAGAGAUGGCUCCUGUCGCAAAGGUUGGUGGCCUGGCAGAUGUGAUAUCUGGUCUUGGGAAGGCACUUCAGAAAAAAGGGCAUCUAGUAGAGAUUAUUCUUCCCAAAUACGACUGCAUGCAGGUUGACCAAGUUAGCAAUCUAAAGGUUUUAGAUGUUCUUGUGCAGUCCUACUUUGAAGGAAAUAUGUUCAACAACAAAAUCUGGACCGGGACUGUUGAAGGCCUACCCGUGUACUUUAUUGAGCCACAGCAUCCAGCGAUGUUCUUUUCGAGGGCUCAGUACUAUGGAGAGCAUGAUGACUUCAAACGUUUUACAUACUUCAGCCGUGCGGCACUAGAAUUACUUUACCAAUCUGGGAAGAAAGUUGAUAUAAUCCACUGCCAUGACUGGCAAACUGCAUUUGUUGCACCUCUUUAUUGGGAUGUAUAUGCAAAUCUAGGCUUCAACUCAGCUAGAAUUUGCUUCACCUGUCAUAAUUUUGAAUAUCAAGGAACUGCUCCAGCUCGUGAUUUAGCAUGGUGUGGCCUUGAUGUUGAGCACCUAGACAGACCAGACAGGAUGCGGGACAAUUCACAUGGAAGAAUAAAUGCUGUUAAGGGCGCAAUUGUGUAUUCAAACAUCGUAACCACUGUCUCGCCAACAUAUGCACUAGAGGUUCGCUCAGAGGGUGGGCGUGGACUCCAAGAUACACUUAAAGUACAUUCCAGGAAAUUUCUUGGGAUACUUAAUGGAAUCGACACAGAUACAUGGAACCCUUCCACAGAUAGGUAUCUCAAGGUCCAGUACAAUGCUAAGGAUCUCCAGGGAAAGGCAGCCAACAAAGCAGCCCUCAGAGAGCAACUAAACCUGGCUUCUGCAUAUCCUUCACAACCACUGGUUGGUUGCAUUACCAGGCUAGUUGCUCAGAAGGGUGUACAUCUUAUCAGGCAUGCAAUAUACAAAACAGCUGAAUUAGGAGGACAAUUUGUCCUUCUGGGUUCAAGUCCAGUACCAGAAAUUCAGAGAGAGUUUGAAGGUAUUGCAGACCAUUUUCAGAAUAACAACAAUAUCCGGCUGAUUUUGAAGUAUGAUGAUGCGCUAUCUCAUUGCAUAUAUGCUGCGUCUGACAUGUUCAUUGUCCCCUCUAUAUUUGAGCCAUGUGGCCUCACUCAGAUGAUAGCCAUGAGAUAUGGUUCUGUGCCGAUUGUUCGGAAAACUGGUGGGCUGAACGACAGUGUCUUUGACUUCGACGACGAAACAAUACCCAUGGAGGUGCGGAACGGCUUUACAUUUGUCAAGGCCGACGAGCAGGGCCUAAGCAGCGCGAUGGAAAGGGCGUUCAACUGCUACACGAGGAAGCCCGAGGUGUGGAAACAGCUUGUGCAGAAAGACAUGACGAUCGAUUUCAGCUGGGACACCUCGGCUUCGCAAUAUGAAGACAUCUACCAGAAGGCGGUGGCUCGAGCGAGGGCGGUGGCGUGAGCACACACACACGCUAGUUGGUUCCCUGAUGCCUCUCUCCCGGGCCCUGCCCUCAUGAUGCAAACGGCACUAGACGAAAUCGGGGAAUCAUGAAAACAGAGUCAUAUAGGAAGCUCCAUGCUCUCAGCACGCAUCUCCGGUAAGGGCGCGACGGUGUGUCGUUGGUUAUAUCGCUGUUUCUUGAAGGAAGGCAGAACGCGAGCGAAAAAUAGAGUAGCUACUGUGAACUGUCAAGAUCUUAGUACGUGCACUGUUGUUGGCAUAAUAUUGGUGUAAAUUGUAGUGGGCUGUAUAUUUUCUUGAGGGGUUGCAACGGAGCUGUGUAUGUGCAGUGCAGGCUGCAGAGUCGUAUGUAUUAUGCAGAAAUCUUUAUGGUCCGUGAGAUGGGAGGAGCGAGAAUUUCAGACACCUGGACCGUAAGCAUCUGUUAGAAAAUACGUUGACUUUCUUUUCUUUGCAAAAAGAUAUUAAAAAAAUCCUUGAAAACGUUACAG
rnacentral:rRNA from 1 species